GCGUUUUUAGUUUAAUUGGAUAAAACAUUAAUCUUCUAAAUUAGUCAUGAAGGUUCAAGUCCUUCAAAACGCG
rnacentral:tRNA from 1 species